rnacentral:rRNA from 1 species
GUCUACGGCCAUACCACCCUGAAGGCGCCCGAUCUCGUCUGAUCUCGGAAGCUAAGCAGGGUCGGGCCUGGUUAGUACUUGGAUGGGAGAUAUUUUCUGAUAUUUGAUCAGUUAGUUU